AAGUAUUGUUAUUUAAAUCCACAGAGAGCUCUCUGUUUUAUUGAUAUGCUUGUGCGAAUUUCUAUAAGAAUUUUUUGGUUUGGUUUAAUUUUUGGGGUUGGGUUUUUGUGAACUUGUUUGUUUCAUAGAAGUUAAUGGAAUUUACAAAUGAAACAAACAUUAAAUUUGGGGUUGAAAUUACCGUAUACAUAUCUGGUGAAUGAAUUAUAUUCUUUAUAUUGUUUUGCAAUUGAUGUUUUAUGCGGCCAGUGAUCUAGUGAAUGUGUAUUGCAUCAUUGCUUUUGAGUUUGCUAUAUAGUUGUUUGAUGAAAUGCAUGAGAGAGAUAUGACUACUACUCUAAUAUAUCAACUCUUUGAUUCUGUUCUCUAGCGGAAGAUUACAUUUUGAAGUUACUUUUAAUAGUUCAAAAAAAAAAAUUUUGUAGAAGAAAAUUUGUAAAGGUAGUGAUUAUUUUACACAGUUUGUUUGAUUGUAUUUUGUGGAAAAAUGGCUUCUUGGAGGUUGUUUUAUUGUAUUCUACAUUUAUACUAUUCAAAAUACUGUUUAGUCUCUGGUCUUCUCAUGUCUUGUAUAAUAAUGUCUCUUUUCAGUUGGUGGAAUAAGAGAGAAGGACAACACAAUUUAGAGUGCAGUUUAGCAAGCUUGCCAAGAGCCAUGGAUGAAAGUCCACUUUCACUCCCUACAAAUGCACCUUCUAUGCCAAAUGUACCACCCCUUAAAUCCCAAUAUGAUUCUACUGAGGCUGAAGGCCAAUUUGAUUUGUUAAUGUUCCAAUUUGUGUGGAGGAUGAUGAGGAUGAUGAAGAUUACAAUUUAAGUGACUCUGUUGAAUCUGAUGAUGAUAUAAAUGAAGAUUUUGGAUUGGGGGAUGAUAGAAUUAGUAGAGAGAUUUGGGGCAAGUAACUUUAGGGAGUUUGGAAUGGUGAAGGAGAUGAUCAUACUUGAAUAGCAAAGAUUUGGCUUUUUUAAAUUAUUUUUUUCUAUGGGGAUGUAAAAAAUUGAAUAUUUUUUUAAUUAUAUUUUUUCAUAUAAAGAAAUUGAAGAGGACAAUAUCAUUUUUGUA